rnacentral:sRNA from 1 species
UUUUUUUUUGAAAUCCAUGAGGUUCUGGGCCGAAACCCAUAAUCUUCUCAGACCCAAAGCCAAAUCAUUUAACAUUAGUUUCGUCCCAAACGUCACUCGAAUCGGCGACCUCUAAGUUUCGCCUAGGGUCUUUACCAAUUGAGCUAACGAUACUUGGUUUUCUAUAUGGAUUUUGUUGAGUACAGGACAAAAUAUACGGGCAUUGGUGGCUUUUGAUGGGUAACAGUAGCAGCUCAACUUGGAAAGAAAUUGGGUUCUGGCCAACACAUAGGUUCAAAGAAAGUUUUGGUACAGGUGUCGAAUGGGGUGGUGAAGUCUAUAGCCCUGCGUCUACAAGUCCUCCUAUGGGUAAUAGUCAUUUUCCGAAGGGGAGCCCCAAAAUAGACUCAUAUGUCCGUUUGAUCACGACUUGGGACGAAAAUUAUGGUUUGGACAUGGUU